rnacentral:rRNA from 1 species
UACGUAGGGGGGCAAGCGUUGUCCGGAAUUUAUUUGGGCGUAAAAGAGCUCGUAGGCGGUUUGUCGCGUCUGCUGUGAAAACCUAAGGCUCAACCUUGGGCUUGCAGUGGGUACGGGCAGACUAGAGUGCGGUAGGGGGUGACUGGAAUUCCUGGUGUAGCGGUGGAAUGCGCAGAUAUCAGGAGGAACACCGAUGGCGAAGGCAGGUCACUGGGCCGCAAC